GGGACAGAGAGAGGGAGGGACAGGCAGACACCAGCAACCACAGGGAGGACAGAGGGCCGUGGACAGAGGACAGCAGUCAAGCUGUGCCUAGAAGGCAGUCUCCAGCGGUGUGCCCCAGGGCUCUGUUCCCUGCCCAGGCCUCUCGGUUCACGGGGAAGAAAAACUACACACACCAAGAGCCCCGCUCCACAGAAGACAGGAGCCGGAGGGACGGCAGAAGACAGAAGCCGGAGGGAUGGCGAACACUGCCGGCCGCAGCUGAUCAGGGUCACCAGGAUGCUGGGAGGCUGGAGUCUGCAACUCGGAGCCUGUCAUCUCCGGGUCCCGACAGCUGAUUUGUGUGCCCGCAUCUGCAUUCUCUCUGAUGUGUGUCUCCCAAUCCCGACUUGUGUGUUUCUAUUUAUUUUUCUCACUUUACUGAAUGGCUUUUUGCUGUGAGCUCCUCCAAAUCCUCGGUGGAACAAAGCCGAGAGUAAAUAGGGCAGAGGAGUGGCUGGUUGAAAGUAACACAAGUUUCUUCAACUGAACAACGUGGAGGAGCAACAGACCUCACCUCCUCGGGAUGGCUCUGAGGCUUAAGUUCACAGAAAUCCCAGAAUUCAGCCUCAUGAGCUUGGAUUGGCUUCAUAUGCUCAUUUCUGAACCAAUCACUGUGGACGGGGCAUGCACCACUCUGAUUGGCCAGCCCUGAAGUUCUGUCCCCUCUUCCAUCUGGGGAUGGAGUGAUUUCUGCAGGACCCGCAGGGACUG